rnacentral:rRNA from 1 species
ACCUGACUGCUAUCGGAUUGAUACUAAGCCAUGCGAGUCAUUGUAGCAAUACAAGGCAGACGGCUCAGUAACGCGUAGUCAAUCUACCCUAUGGACGGGAAUAACCUCGGGAAACUGAGAAUAAUGCCCGAUAGAACAUUAUGCCUGGAAUGGUUUAUGUUUCAAAUGAUUUAUCGCCAUAGGAUGGGACUGCGGCCUAUCAGUUUGUUGGUGAGGUAAUGGCCCACCAAGACUAUUACAGGUACGGGCUCUGAGAGGAGUAGCCCGGAGAUGGGUACUGAGACACGGACCCAGGCCCUAUGGGGCGCAGCAGGCGAGAAAACUUUGCAAUGUGCGAAAGCACGACAAGGUUAAUCCGAGUGGUUUCUGCUAAAGAAACCUUUUGUCAGUCCUAGAAACACUAACGAAUAAGGGGUGGGCAAGUUCUGGUGUCAGCCGCCGCGGUAAAACCAGCACCUCAAGUGGUCAGGAUGAUUAUUGGGCCUAAAGCAUCCGUAGCUCGUUUUGUAAGUUUUCGGUUAAAUCCAUGCGCUUAACGUAUGGGCUGCCGGGAAUACUGCAUAACUAGGAAGUGGGAGAGGUAGACGGUACUCGGUAGGAAGGGGUAAAAUCCUUUGAUCUAUUGAUGACCACCUGUGGCGAAGGCGGUCUACCAGAACACGUUCGACGGUGAGGGAUGAAAGCUGGGGGAGCAAACCGGAUUAGAUACCCGGGUAGUCCCAGCUGUAAACUAUGCAAACUCAGUGAUGCAUUGGCUUAUGGCCAAUGCAGUGCUGCAGGGAAGCCGUUAAGUUUGCCGCCUGGGAAGUACGUACGCAAGUAUGAAACUUAAAGGAAUUGGCGGGGGAGCACCACAAGUGGUGAAGCCUGCGGUUCAAUUGGAGUCAACGCC